rnacentral:rRNA from 1 species
ACGAACGCUGGCGGCGUGCUUAACACAUGCAAGUCGAACGGAAAGGCCCUGCUUUUGUGGGGUGCUCGAGUGGCGAACGGGUGAGUAACACGUGAGUAACCUGCCCUUGACUUUGGGAUAACUUCAGGAAACUGGGGCUAAUACCGGAUAGGAGCUCCUGCUGCAUGGUGGGGGUUGGAAAGUUUCGGCGGUUGGGGAUGGACUCGCGGCUUAUCAGCUUGUUGGUGGGGUAGUGGCUUACCAAGGCUUUGACGGGUAGCCGGCCUGAGAGGGUGACCGGCCACAUUGGGACUGAGAUACGGCCCAGACUGCUACGGGAGGCAGCAGUGGGGAAUAUUGCACAAUGGGCGGAAGCCUGAUGCAGCAACGCCGCGUGCGGGAUGACGGCCUUCGGGUUGUAAACCGCUUUCGCCUGUGACGAAGCGUGAGUGACGGUAAUGGGUAAAGAAGCACCGGCUAACUACGUG